rnacentral:rRNA from 1 species
AUACGGAGGGGGCAAGCGUUAUUCGGAUUUACUGGGCGUAAAGCGCGCGUAGGCGGCGAGAUAAGUUGGGCGUGAAAGCCCGGGGCUCAACCCCAGAACUGCGCUCAUUACUGUCUGGCUAGAGACCGGGAGAGGGUAGUGGAAUUCCCAGUGUAGAGGUGAAAUUCGUAGAUAUUAGGAAGAACACCAGUGGCGAAGGCGACUGCCUGGCCCGGUACUGACGCUGAGGCGCGAAAGCGUGGGGAGCAAACAGGAUUAGAUACCCCGGUAGUCC